rnacentral:rRNA from 1 species
UACGAAGGGGGCUAGCGUUGCUCGGAAUCACUGGGCGUAAAGGGUGCGUAGGCGGGUCUUUAAGUCAGGGGUGAAAUCCUGGAGCUCAACUCCAGAACUGCCUUUGAUACUGAAGAUCUUGAGUUCGGGAGAGGUGAGUGGAACUGCGAGUGUAGAGGUGAAAUUCGUAGAUAUCGGGAGGAACACCAGUGGCGAAGGCGACUACCUGGCCUGUUCUUGACGCUGAGGCGCGAAAGCUAGGGGAGCAAACGGG